rnacentral:rRNA from 1 species
AUACCUUCGGGUAGGCGUCGAGCGGCGGACGGGUGAGUAAUGCAUAGGAAUCUACCCAACUGUGGGGGAUAACCCGGGGAAACUCGGGCUAAUACCGCAUAACCUCUUCGGAGUAAAGCGGGGGCUCUUCGGACCUCGCGCUGAUGGAUGAGCCUAUGUCUGAUUAGCUUGUUGGUGAGGUAAUGGCUCACCAAGGCGACGAUCAGUAGCUGGUCUGAGAGGAUGAUCAGCCACACCGGGACUGAGACACGGCCCGGACUCCUACGGGAGGCAGCAGUGGGGAAUAUUGGACAAUGGGCGAAAGCCUGAUCCAGCCAUGCCGCGUGUGUGAAGAAGGCCCUAGGGUUGUAAAGCACUUUAAGCAGGAAAGAAAAAGCCUCGGUUAAUAGCCGUGGCCUUGACGGUACCUGCAGAAUAAGCACCGGCUAACUCCGUGCCAGCAGCCGCGGUAAUACGGAGGGUGCAAGCGUUAAUCGGAAUUACUGGGCGUAAAGCGUGCGUAGGCGGUUGCGUGUGUCAGAUGUGAAAGCCCCGGGCUUAACCUGGGAAUUGCAUUUGAAACUGCGUAACUAGAGUGUGGUAGAGGAAGAUAGAAUUCCACGUGUAGCGGUGAAAUGCGUAGAUAUGUGGAGGAAUACCGAUGGCGAAG